rnacentral:rRNA from 1 species
GAUGAACGCUGGCGGCGUGCCUAAUACAUGCAAGUCGAGCGAACAGACGAGGAGCUUGCUCCUCUGACGUUAGCGGCGGACGGGUGAGUAACACGUGGAUAACCUACCUAUAAGACUGGGAUAACUUCGGGAAACCGGAGCUAAUACCGGAUAAUAUAUUGAACCGCAUGAUUCAAUAGUGAAAGACGGUUUUGCUGUCACUUAUAGAUGGAUCCGCGUCGCAUUAGCUAGUUGGUAAGGUAACGGCUUACCAAGGCAACGAUGCGUAGCCGACCGGAGAGGGUGACCGGCCACCCUGGAACUGAGCCACGGUCCAGACUCCUACGGGAGGCAGCAGUAGGGAAUCUUCCGCAAUGGGCGAAAGCCUGACGGAGCAACGCCGCGUGAUUGAUGAAGUUCUUCGGAUCUUAAAACUCUGUUAUUAGGGAAGAACAAAUGUGUAAGUAACUAUGCACGUCUUGACGGUACCUAAUCAGAAAGCCACGGCUAACUACGUG